rnacentral:rRNA from 1 species
AUUGAACGCUGGCGGCAGGCCUAACACGUGCAAGUCGAGCGGAUGAAGGGAGCUUGCUCCUGGAUUCAGCGGCGGACGGGUGAGUAAUGCCUAGGAAUCUGCCUGGUAGUGGGGGAUAACGUCCGGAAACGGGCGCUAAUACCGCAUACGUCCUGAGGGAGAAAGUGGGGGAUCUUCGGACCUCACGCUAUCAGAUGAGCCUAGGUCGGAUUAGCUAGUUGGUGGGGUAAAGGCCUACCAAGGCGACGAUCCGUAACUGGUCUGAGAGGAUGAUCAGUCACACUGGAACUGAGACACGGUCCAGACUCCUACGGGAGGCAGCAGUGGGGAAUAUUGGACAGUGGGCGAAAGCCUGAUCCAGCCAUGCCGCGUGUGUGAAGAAGGUCUUCGGAUUGUAAAGCACUUUAAGUUGGGAGGAAGGGCAGUAAGUUAAUACCUUGCUGUUUGGACGUUACCAACAGAAUAAGCACCGGCUAACUUCGU